CUAGGAAUCUUGGGAAUGGGCGAAAGCCUGACCCAGCAACGCCGCGUGGGCGAUGAAGGCCUUAGGGUCGUAAAGCCCUUUUGUGGGGGAAGAUUAUGACGGUACCCCACGAAUAAGCCACGGCUAACUACGUGCCAGCAGCCGCGGUAAUACGUAGGUGGCAAGCGUUGUCCGGAUUUACUGGGCGUAAAGGGCGUGCAGGCGGUUUGCUAAGUCUAGGGUGAAAGCUCCCGGCUUAACUGGGAGAGGUCCUUGGAUACUGGCAGACUUGAGGAGGGUAGAGGAGAGUGGAAUUCCCGGUGUAGUGGUGAUAUGCGUAGAUAUCGGGAGGAACACCAGUGGCGAAGGCGGCUCUCUGGGCCCUACCUGACGCUGAGACGCGAAAGCGUGGGGAGCGAACCGGAUUAGAUACCCGGGUAGUCCACGCCGUAACUAUGGACACUAGGUGUGGGGGGUAUCGACCCCCUCCGUCGCCGAAGCUAACGCAAUAAGUGUCCCGCCUGGGAGUACGGCCGCAAGGCUAAACU
rnacentral:rRNA from 1 species